AGACAUGGGGAGCACGUGCUUCCUUCUGGCACUGAGUACAGAUCUCACUCACCAACUAGCCAAAGGAGUUAGCUGAAGGACCUCCUGGUAGAGGGACUGGGGUUUGCAAAACAUGAAGAGUAGAAAGAACACUACACCAGGAGUCAAGAGCUCCCAUCCUAAUCCCAGCUCUGCCAGCAAGUGACCCGCUGUGCUGCCCCAGGUUGGCUUCAUUCUCCUUUCCUAAAAUCCACCUUCUUCCACUGAACUCCCAGCUCUACCACUAAGACGGACUAUUCUAUAGUUGUAAUUUUAAAAAUUCUCAAGAAAAACUCAUGCCGGUCCAGAUUGGGACCACAUACCGACCCCAGUAGCCAAGGUCC
rnacentral:lncRNA from 1 species